rnacentral:misc_RNA from 1 species
AACGCACAUUGCGCCCGGCAGCAUUCUGCCGGGCAUGCCUGUUCGAGCGUCAUUUCAACCCUCGCGCACCCUUUGGGGAGCACGGUGUUGGGGACCGGCAGCACACAGCCGACCCCGAAAUGGAGUGGCGGCCCGUCCGCGGCGACCUCUGCGUAGUAAUUAUCACCUCGCACCGGAAUCCCGACGUGGCCACGCCUCAAAACAACCCAAUUUCUGAACGUUGACCUCGGAUCAGGUAGGAAUACCCGCUGAACUUAA